rnacentral:rRNA from 1 species
CAGUCGCCGCGGUAAUACGAAGGGUGCAAGCGUUACUCGGAAUUACUGGGCGUAAAGCGUGCGCAGGCGGUUUGUUAAGACAGAUGUGAAAUCCCCGGGCUCAACCUGGGAACUGCAUUUGUGACUGGCAAGCUAGAGUGUGGCAGAGGGGGGUGGAAUUCCGCGUGUAGCAGUGAAAUGCGUAGAUAUGCGGAGGAACACCGAUGGCGAAGGCAGCCCCCUGGGCCAACACUGACGCUCAUGCACGAAAGCGUGGGGAGCAAACAGGAUUAGAUACCCCUGUAGUCCCUGUCUCUUAUAC